CUCAAACUCCUGACCUGAAGCAAUCCUCUCAUCUUGGCCUCCCAAAGCACUGGAUUAUUGGUAUAACAUCUCACUAUGAUGGAUCAAAAGAUGUUGUCUAAGUUGUUUGUCAGGAAAUGAAGACUCAGCCUUGAACCUAGCUCAAACCAGUUGAGACCACCAAGCCUUCAAUGUGGGCAUAUAUUCUAAAAGGAAUCUUCCAAUCAGUCUUGUAGCAAUGAGUAAAGUGAAGAUAGAUCACAAUGCUAGGGAAUAAAAUGGAUGAUGCACUUCAGCCAGAAGAUAAGCAAUGCCAAAGAAUGAAAUGGGAUAAGAUCGUCAAAGAAAGUUCUGAAAAAAGAUGCUCAUAAAGAAAUUCUCUGACCUACCUUGCCUGAAACUAGGUCGUAAGAUCCUCAUUCCAGAGAAAUCCUGUACUAUACCUGGAGGCCAAGAAGAAUCUGAACAGUUUCCCCAGUAUAUUACCUUCAGGUAAAACUAAACUGAGUCUCAGUAGGAGGAUAUUUGUAUUUCGUAAUGGAGAGAAUGAAGAGUCACAAUAAAUGGGAAUUAAAAUUAAAUACAAUCCAUACCUGUGCAUCCUGUAUCCACCACCAAUGGAUGGCUGGAAAAUACAGUAUUCGUGGGAUGUUUAUACUGUAUGUGGAGCAAGAGUUGGUAAGAGGCAGGCAGACAAACUUGAAACCAAUUCCCCACAUACUGGGAGACAACUAUAUAUGUCCUUGUGUAUUUUGGGACAGAUAAUCUGACACUACC
rnacentral:lncRNA from 1 species